rnacentral:rRNA from 1 species
UACAGGGGGUGCAAACGUUGCUCGGAAUCAUUGGGCGUAAAGCGCACGUAGGCGGUUUGUUAUGUCGGAUGUGAAAGCCCUUGGCUCAACUGAGGAAGUGCAUCCGAAACUGGCAAGCUAGAGUACUAAAGAGGAUCGCGGAAUUCCUGGUGUAGCGGUGAAAUGCGCAGAUAUCAGGAAGAACACCGUGGCGAAGGCGGUCUC